rnacentral:rRNA from 1 species
AGAGUUUGAUCCUGGCUCAGGAUGAACGCUAGCUACAGGCUUAACACAUGCAAGUCGAGGGGCAGCGGGAUUGAAGCUUGCUUCAAUUGCCGGCGACCGGCGCACGGGUGAGUAACGCGUAUCCAACCUUCCGUACACUCAGGGAUAGCCUUUCGAAAGAAAGAUUAAUACCUGAUGGUAUCUUAAGCACACAUGUAAUUAAGAUUAAAGAUUUAUCGGUGUACGAUGGGGAUGCGUUCCAUUAGGUAGUAGGCGGGGUAACGGCCCACCUAGCCAACGAUGGAUAGGGGUUCUGAGAGGAAGGUCCCCCACAUUGGAACUGAGACACGGUCCAAACUCCUACGGGAGGCAGCAGUGAGGAAUAUUGGUCAAUGGACGAGAGUCUGAACCAGCCAAGUAGCGUGAAGGAUGAAGGUCCUACGGAUUGUAAACUUCUUUUAUAAGGGAAUAAACCCUCCCACGUGUGGGAGCUUGUAUGUACCUUAUGAAUAAGCAUCGGCUAACUCCGUGCCAGCAGCCGCGGUAAUACGGAGGAUGCGAGCGUUAUCCGGAUUUAUUGGGUUUAAAGGGAGCGCAGACGGGUCGUUAAGUCAGCUGUGAAAGUUUGGGGCUCAACCUUAAAAUUGCAGUUGAUACUGGCGUCCUUGAGUGCGGUUGAGGUGUGCGGAAUUCGUGGUGUAGCGGUGAAAUGCUUAGAUAUCACGAAGAACUCCGAUUGCGAAGGCAGCACACUAAUCCGUAACUGACGUUCAUGCUCGAAAGUGUGGGUAUCAAACAGGAUUAGAUACCCUGGUAGUCCACACGGUAAACGAUGGAUACUCGCUGUUGGCGAUAUACUGUCAGCGGCUUAGCGAAAGCGUUAAGUAUCCCACCUGGGGAGUACGCCGGCAACGGUGAAACUCAAAGGAAUUGACGGGGGCCCGCACAAGCGGAGGAACAUGU